rnacentral:lncRNA from 10 species
GAAAAAAGUGUGGGUAUCUAGAGAACCUGCCAUUGUGGCUUACCUUAAGUAGGGCUGGGAUCUGGAUAAUGAGAAAAAGGAUUUUGCUCCUUUGGUGGCCAGGAGCUUCAGAGAGUGAAUUCUAACUUAGGCUGGUUGGAAUAAGAUAGUCUUAGGAAGAAAAAUCAAAUUCAGAAAGAGCCUGUCAAAAAAGAGCCUGGAUUGGUUUAUCUGGUAAGCUGGACCAGGCUAAGCUCUAUAAUAUAUUGUACUUGAGGUUUGUACACUCGAUGAGGCUAUCUUUUUGAUUAGGCAGAUAAUUGUUUUUUUUGAGACAUAGUCUUGCUCUCUGUCACCCAGGCCAGAGUGCAGUGACGCAAUCUCAGCUCACUGCAACCUCUGCCUCUGGGGUUCAAGCAAUUCUCCUGCCUCAACUUCCCAAGUAGCUGGGAUUACAGGUGCCCACUACCACACCCAGCUAAUUUUUGUAUUUUUAGUAGAGGUGGGUUUUCACCGUGUUGGCCAGGCUGGUCUUAAACUCCUGACCUCAGAUGAUCUUCCCGUCUCGGCCUCCCAAAGUGCUGGGAUUAUAGGCAUGAGCCACUGCACCCAGCUGGCAGAUACCUUUCAUCUUAGAGUGAUCCACUACUAAGAAAUCUUCCCAAGAAAAUUAAAGAGGACAAGACUGUUCUAUGAGAAGAAAUUCCUAAGUCCUCACGUGGAGACCUAGGGAGGAGACGCCUCUACCUGGGAUUUCAUCAUGUAGAUGCACCCGUGUAGUGAUACAGAUCUAAUGAGACACUAACAUAUCACACAUGUGGGCAGUUGGAUCUGUUAAUAAGGACAUGCUGCUAAUGAAGUUAAUACUAGAAUCAGAGGGUACUUGUGGGUAUGUGGUAACUUAUAUAAACAGAGCCCCUGUGAAGCAUCUGUAUCCGAAUCAGUGAUAAUCUAUCAUCACUAUCGGAGAAAAACUUCAUGUGCACAAAAGCACCA